UAAGUGUGCAUGAAGGGAAGAGCAUACACUCUGGAAAAUGCACCUAUUUCUCAAAAGCCACACAGAUUCCCUUUGAGGCACCAAUGCAGGGCAGUCAGAUAACUCUGAAACAUGGUAGAAACAGGUUGCUGAGCCAAAAUGGCGAAGGUAGAGAGACGAUCACAUAAGCAUUUCGUAUGGGAUGCAUCGGAGUUUGGGAGCAGAGAUCAAUCAUGAUAGAAGGGAAAUAUGGCUCUGGAAGCAACUGUGCUGCUAUGGAAUGGGAAAGGGCUGACCUGGGCAUCUAUGAAGAGGAU